GCCAUAUCUCUCCGCCAUCUUCAGAAGGCCCAUGACUCUCACUCUCUAUCAGACCCCCGAAAUUUCCAGAAUGGAAAAGCCCCAAACGAAGAACCCUAACCCCAAAUAGAAGAAUUCCCAUAAUUUCCGUCGCCGAAAUCUCCCCGUCGUUGCUCCACCUCCAUUUCCUCCUCGUCCUCCUUUGGUUCUCGUUUGCUUGAUCUGGAACAAUUGGUGGCUGUGAGGGGUUGAAACCUCUGCCCUCUUCUUUUUCUUACUCAGAUGGGAAGUGAGAGGGCUUUCAUAUUGGAGAAGAAGACUGCAGCGUCAUUUGGAGAGUCUCCAGUAAAUGUUGGAAGACAAAACAUGCCAGGAUUAAUAUAAAUGGGAUUUUGGGCGACGAUGGUGGGCAAGUUCAUGGAAAAUUCGAUGUGGGCGACGGUGGGCAAUUUCUACAUCAAGAAAUUGUUGUCAAAGAUGAGAUUUU
rnacentral:lncRNA from 1 species